GAGUAUAAGCCAAUGGAGCUUGGAAGGCUUCCGCAGAUGGUGUCCAUCAUACGUGGUGUUCUUAAGACCUUGAGUCUCGCUCGUCAGGCGUAGCAUUGAGUUUGCCAGGUUAGCUGUCGUGCGGGGGUUCGGCUUGGAGGUCUCAGGCUUCGGCCGAAGGGCUUUCGGCUGUCCCCUUUUGAAUGGACGUUCAGAGCUCUUGUGUCUAAUGCGGUUAUGCCCACCACAGCACGUUGCGAGGUCACCCACAGGCUCAAACUGCCGAUCGCGUAUCCCGGACGAUGGCAACGAUGCGUUGUUGGCGCGUGUGUGUGCGGGAGCGAGUCUCUCCACGCACCGUCGUCACACGCGUGUCUAGUCCUGGGUCGGGCGGCGACCGAGAUAAACCUGGUACGAUCCUCUUGCGACGAGCUGCUUUCUGGCCAGACCGACGCCCAGGCGCCUCCACUGUGCCGGAAGCGUCAAUCCCAGGCGGUGUGAACCCAGCUGCAUUAUGCAAGGUCUCUCAGCCGGGCGUUGGUCUGAGUGGUGUCAAGUCCAGCACCAUCGGUCACGUCUCGAAACACGGGCCAAGGAGUAUAGCAUGUGUGCAAGUCUAAGGGUCUCACAAAACCCGAAGGCGAAGUGAAAGCAAGACUGUGGCGGGGGCGCCACGGCAAACCCGCCGGCCUAGUGCGGCGCCUUGUGCGUCGCCUGGCUUUAAGCAGAGCUGAUCCUGUUUUCUCGGUUAAUUCUUGGUGCAGGCGCAAGCUCCGGGCUCACGUACAACACUGGUCACGCCUCGUGCGUGGCUGUGUUGUGAGC
rnacentral:rRNA from 1 species